CUUUGGUGAAAGUGUAUUCUUCUCAUGCUGCUACCAAUACCUUGCACUCUAGAAUCCCUAGAAAGGUCCUCCACGCCCGCCUCUUCUUCCUCCCACCUGUUCCAUCAAAGGUCCAGGGGGCCCACCAGGACCGCCUCAUCUUCCUCCGCCAAAGCCACCUGGGGCCAUGCCCCGGCCACCACGGAAGCCCCCUCUGUCUCCACCGCGGCCACCUCUGAACAUCCCACCGGGACCACCGCGGUCCAUGAGGCCACCUCUUCCUCCCCACAGGCCACCAGGGCCGCCUCUGCCACGGUCACCGCCCGGGGGCGGGAAGGGAGGUGGAAGGAAGCCUUUAGGCUUCGGGGCCUUACACUGGUUGCAUUCUGUUCUCUAGGAGAAGUUCUGGUUUCCACACCCCGGAUUGGAGCAAUGCCAGUCCCCAGCUCGGUGCUGGACGUUUCCUCCUCUGGAUGGGUUCCCUCGGGAACCCCGGAGUCCUCUUGGAGGAAAGCCACCUCUGUCUCCUCCACGGCCUCCCAUGCGACCCAUGGGGCCCCCAGGACCUCCUGGGCCCCCUGGACCUCCACGGAGUGGCGGUGGCAUCCCUCUGCCCUCAUGGGGAGACAUACCACCCCGCAUGCUGUUCAUCGGAGGUUUCUUCCGAGCAAGAGAAACCUUAAGUUUGCUUCCUUGAAAAUCUUUCCCAUCAAACCACUCCACAUCAGCCUUGGCAGUUGGUGGGUCUUCAUAGGAUACUGUAGCAUCACCUUUGGGCUUUCCUGUUUCCUUGUCCAAGUAGGUAUGGAUCAUGGGUUGUCCGGUUCUCUUGUUCAUUUUAACAAUUCCACACUGCUUAAAGAAGUCUGCCAGAUCAUCUGGAGUCACAUUGUCAUUUAAGCCUUGCACAUAAAUUGCACUGUUGUCAGUCUUCAUCUGGAUCUACAGGUGGGCCUAGAUCAAGAUCUGGUCCUUCAUCCAUGGGUCCACCAGGCUUAUUGAAGCUACCUCGCUCUCCAGCGCUGCCCAUUCCACCCCGUCUUCCUCCCUGCCCAUCUCUGCUCAUUCCUCCACGAUCUAAUCCCCCUCUUCCCCUGCCCCGGUUAUCAGGGCCACUCAUGCUCUGGUUCUCUCCUGGUCCGGAAAAAUCCUCCAGACUCCUGCCCAUAAACACCCAUGCUACUGGGGUGGUCCUGUAGGAAUGAACUCUGCUGCCUGUAGCUGCUGCUCUGUUGGCUAUAUUGACUUGGAGCCUAGCUGUAGGAUCCAGUUUGGGGGGGAUAACUAGUGGGUGGCUGCUGCCCAUAGCUGCUUUGUUGACCAUAGCUACUCUGCUGUCCAUAGCUGCUCGGCUGCCCAUAGGUGUUCCGCUGAGAGUAACUGCUCUGAUCAUAACUAGUUGGCUGUGUAGAGAAGCAGCUGGUAGAAGGAUAAGAUGGUGGUGCUGUGACUGGCUGCAUGGGGCAGCUCCCAGGUACCUGGGGAUAACUGUAGUUACUCUGUCCAUAUCCUAGGCUGGGCUGGUUGUAACCCCCUGUGCUAGAUUGAGGUUGACUAGUCUCAGCGGGUUUGUUACCAUCCUGUGGUCUUGCAGGUGCAGUGGCUGCUGGCUUCUUCCCAUAGGCUGGGUAAGCAGGCUGAGUGCCAUUAUGCAGACUGAGCUGCAUAGGAGGCCUGGGUGGUAGUGACCAUAGCAGUGGUGGUAUCAUAAGCACCAGUGCCGUACCCCUGGACAGGCUGACUCUAUGCCUUGGGGGCAGUUGGAGUAGUAUAACCAGUGGAAGGCUGUCCAUAAGAGGUUGCAUAGGCGGCCUGCCCAUAGGUCGCAGUGGUCUGAGCCUGGGUAUAGCUGACAUCAGUGGGCUGUCCAUAGGUUCCAUAACUCUGCUACCCAUAUGCUUGGGUGUUCUGUGCAUAUCCUUGAGUUGGUUGGGCGGUGUAUGCACUGUAGCCCUGCUGGGCUGCAGCUUGGCUGUAGGUACUGUAAUCCAUAGACACCAUUUUCUCUCCUUCCCUCUCGUUCUCUCAACGUCGGUCUCCUAAAAUAAUCUUUUAAAAUAGGGCAGCCCGGGUGGCUCAGCGGUUUAGCACCGCCUUCAGCCCAGGGCAUGAUCCUGGAGACUAGGGAUCAAGUCCCACAUCAGGCUCCCUGCAUGGAGCCUGCUUCUCCCUCUGCCUGUGUCUCUGCCUCUCUCUGUGUCUCUCAUGAAUAAAUAAAUAAAAUAUUUAAAAAAUAAUAAUAAUCUUUUAAAACAGAAGUGGGCAAACUUUUUUGUAAAAGGUCAGAUAGUAAAUAUUUUCAGCCUUUUAAGUUACACUGGCUCCAUCACAACUACACCAUUUUGCCAUCACAGUGCAAAAGCAGCCGUAGAUAGAACAUAAACAAAUGGAUGUGGCUAUGUUACAGGAAACUUUAUUUAUAGAAACAGGUGGCAGGUUGGAUUAGUUUGCUAAACUCUGUUUUAGAAAAACAUUUAAAGAUGCCAGAAACACUCAUGGUUUAUUGUUAUAGGAAGAAAAUAGUACCAAAUAGAAUACACAUAAUUCUAACCUUAUUUUUUAAAGGCUGGAAGGAAUAAUGGCAACAUUUUGUUAGUAGAUUCUCUGUGUGGUAGGUUUAAAAGUGGUCAUUAUUAUCUUCAUUAUACUUUUCUACGUUUUCUAAAAUAAAAAUGUAAAUUUUUUAAUGAGAAAAAAAACAAUGAAUAUCAUUUUAAAGAGCGUAGUGGAGGAAUCAGGAUGCUAAAUUCCAUAGUGAUAGAUACCUCAUAAUCCUGUACCUAUGGAGUUAGGGCAGAAAUAAUAAGGUUUAAGCAGCAUACUAAAUGUUUCAGUAACUGGAGCCAUUCUAGGAUGUUAACUGCAACACGAGUGAUGCUAACAUUUCCUGCUUUGCUCAUUGCUUCUUCACAGGCUUUCUGUUUCAUUUGUGGGUAACUUCAUGUUAUGGAAUUAAUGUGUGUGUCCCCCCAAAAUCGAUAUGUCAAAAUCCUAAUACCCUAUGUCAUGAUAUUAGGAGAUGGGGCCUUCAUGAGAUAGGGCUCUGCCCUCAUGAAUAGGAAUAAUGCCCUUAUAAAAGGGACCCCAGAGAACUCUUGCAACCCUUUCCUGGCAUAUGUGGACAUAAUGAAGUCACCACUCUGAAAUCCAGAAGAGAGUCCUCAUCAGAACCUGGUAUCCUGGGAUCCCUGGGUGGCGCAGUGGUUUGGCGCCUGCCUUUGGCCCAGGGCGCGAUCCUGGAGACCCGGGAUCGAAUCCCACGUCGGGCUCUCGGUGCAUGGAGCCUACUUCUCCCUCUGCCUGUGUCUCCGCCUCUCUCUCUCUCUCUGUGACUAUCAUAGAUAAAUAAAAAUUAAAAAAAAAAAAAAAAGAACCUGGUAUCCUGAUCUCAGACUUUCAGCCUCCAGAACUAUGAGGAAUAAAUGUCUGUUGUUUACAAGCCAUGCAAUCUAUGGUAAUUUGUUAUAGCAGCCCAAACUGACAGAGAAACUAGGUUCAUCCCUUCUGAUGAGCACUGAAGCACUAAAGCAGCAGCCAUCAAAAUACUAUCAGAUCAGCACUGUUAAUCCUAGUGAAAUGCAGGCUAUCUUGCUGCCUGGUCUCUUUGUCUCCUUGGAUGGGAUUUGAGUAAAUCACGUUUGAGCUUUUGAAACAGAUGAUGUGGCUAAAUUCUGCUAAUCUUUCUGCUCCCAUAGCCAUUGCCCUAGUUUUGGUCUUAAUUACUGCUCACCCAGACAGUAGUCUCCCUACUGGCCUCUGAUUCCCCUGUUCCUACCUUUUCAUCUCCCCCAUGUAGCUAGAUUGAUCUUCAUGAGCACAUCUCAAGUGACUCUCUUAGGUAGACCUCUUCAUUGGUUCAUGUUCCCUACAGACCAGCAUCCAAAUUCCUUAGUCUGCAGUUAAGAUGUCAAUUCUUUAAGUCUUAACAGUCAAUGAGAAAGAAAAUUUGUAUUUUCAAUGGAUCAAAAUAAUUUUAGAAUCACCUAAGCCAGACAAAGCCCAAAGCAAUUGGAAAGGCAGACUUCUCUUGGUAGUAAGAUGAGGAAAAGAUUCCCAGAACUGUCACUGAAAGUUAGACAAAUAUCUAACUAUGAAGGUGAUGCAUUCAGAAUCAGGAUUAUUUUGAGCAAAAGAUCAGGUCACAGAAAAACCAAAGCAUAUCUUAUUGGACUGAUCAAUAAUUUGGAAUGUUUCUGAAGUAAUGUAUAAUGUGUGACUAUAAAACCCUCAAACGGGGAUGCCUGGGUGGCUCAGCGGUUGCAAGUCUGCCUUUAGCACAGGGCAUGAUCCUGGGGUCCAGGAUUGAGUCCUGCAUCAGGCUCCUUGCGGGGAGCCUGCUUCUCUCUCUGCCUGUAUCUCUGCCUCUCUCUCUGCCUGUACCUCUGUUUCUGUCUCUGUCUCUCUCUCUCUCUCAUGAAUAAAUAGAUAAAAUCUUUUUUAAAAAUAAAAUAAAUAAAACCUUCAAAUGGAUAAUGGAUUUGAAUCUCAUGUUCUAAAUCAUGGACCAUCAGCAGCUUAUUUGAGAAGCUAACCCUGAUUUUCUUAGUAAGUAUAAUUGCAACCCCAGGAAGAAACUCAAGAGGUAAGAAAUCAGAAGUAUAAAGAGAAUCAGAAUUAGAAUCAGGAUAGAAAUGAUGAGGAAACAAAUUUACUUCCUAAGGUCUAACCCUUUUGAAACUUCUAUAUCAAUCAAUUUUAGAAUUGCACAGUGGAGUGUAUUUUGUCUUCUUCUGAAAAACAUUUAAAAGAAUCUGAUACUCUAAACUAGGAAAAAAGUAUUCAGUUUGCAACAAUGUUUAUGAGUUUGAGGAAAUCUAGCUUAUUGAAUUAAUAUAUUUUUAAUGUAUUGUAUAAAUGAGGUAAAGUGGCUAUUAAUGAUUUAAAGAUUAGUAAGUUACAUAAUAGUGAAUAUUCCUCUUCAUAUAACAUGCAUAAAAGCUUUUAGGAUAUUAAAAAAAGUUAUCAACGUGACGUUGUCCCCCUUCUGGCCCAAUAUAUUUUUCCCACUUGUUCCCUUUACCCAUACUAGCUCUAGCUCUACUGAAUUGUUCCUAAUUACUUUUACAUAGCACUUUUCUUCUAUCAUGCCUGGUAGAGUAGGCAGUUAGAUGUACAUAAGCAGGAGGAGAGAAUGGAGGAUAACAGAUGGACAAUUGCUAGGGACCAUUCAGUCUCCAUCCAAGAAACUAUCCCAUCUCCCUUAGGUCAAUCUCUUUUGCUUUUUAGCACAGACUGAUAAGCAGAAGAUAGUGGCUACAGGGACUUCCCCAACUUUGAAGCAUGUGCUCUUUUUUUUUUAUUUUUUAAAAAU
rnacentral:lncRNA from 1 species